rnacentral:ncRNA from 1 species
AUAAAAUUUUUAUGUUUUAUAAAAUUUAUUAUAAAUUUAUUUUACAUAUAAAUUUUAGUAUAUGAUUUUAAUUAUUUUAAUAAUAAUUGAAAUUAAUUUGUAGUAAUUAAAAUUAAAAAUUUAAGAAAUUAAGAUUUAGUAAUAUAAGAAUUAAUAACUAAUUUUGUGCCAGCAGUUGCGGUUAUACAAAAAUUAAAUUAAAUUAUUUCAGUAUUUAAUAAAUAAAAAUAAAAUUAAAAUAAAUAUUAAAUUAUUAGGUAAAAUUUUAAUUUGAUUAAAUUUUAACUUAAUUUUAUGAUUUAAUAAAUUUAAUAAUAAACUAGGAUUAGAUACCCUACUAUUAAAAAUUUAAUUUAUAAUACUAAAAUAGUAGAUAAAAAUAUUGAAACUUAAAUAAUAUGGCGGUAUUUUAGUUCAUUUAGAGGAAUCUGUCUAAUAAUUGAUAAUCCACGAAUAAAUUUACUUAAUUUAUAAUUUUAUAUAUCGUUGUUAUAAAAAUAUUUUUUAAUAAAAAUAAUAUUUAAAAAUUUAAAUUAAAAAUUAAUUCAGAUCAAGAUGUAGAAUAUAAUUAAGAAUAUGAUGGAUUACAAUAAAAUAAUUUAAUAUGAAUAAUUUAAUUUUAAAAUUAAUUUGAAGGUGGAUUUAAAUGUAAUUUUAAUUAAUUUAUUAAAAUGAUUAAAAAUUGAAAUAUGUACAUAUUGCCCGUCACUUUCAUUUAAAAAUUGGAAUAAGUCGUAACAAAGUAGAGGUACUGGAAAGUGUUUCUAGAAUGAA